GGAAUAUUGGUCAAUGGACGGUAGUCUGAACCAGCCAAGUCGCGUGCGGGAAGAAGGCCCUCCGGGUCGUAAACCGCUUUAGCCGGGGAGUAACGUGGGGGACGCGUCCCUCAGUGAGAGUACCCGGAGAAUAAGCAUCGGCUAACUCCGUGCCAGCAGCCGCGGUAAUACGGAGGAUGCGAGCGUUAUCCGGAUUUAUUGGGUUUAAAGGGUGCGCAGGCGGCGAGUCAAGUCAGCGGUCAAACUGCGGCGCUCAACGCCGUACCGCCGUUGAAACUGGCGCGCUCGAGUUUGUGCGAGGAUGGCGGAAUGCGCAGUGUAGCGGUGAAAUGCAUAGAUAUUGCGCAGAACUCCGAUUGCGAAGGCAGCUGUCCAGCACACUACUGACGCUCAUGCACGAAAGCGUGGGUAUCGAACA
rnacentral:rRNA from 1 species